CCUACGGGUGGCAGCAGUGGGGAAUAUUGCACAAUGGGGGAAACCCUGAUGCAGCGACGCCGCGUGAGUGAAGAAGUAAUUCGUUAUGUAAAGUUCUUUUAACAGGGAAGAAAGAGAAAUUUGACGGUACCUGAAGAAUAUGCUCCGGCUAACUACGUGCCAGCAGCCGCGGUAAGACGUAGGGAUCGAGCGUUAUCCGGAAUUAUUGGGCGUAAAGGGUGCGUAGACGGAAUAGCAAGGCUGUUGUAAAAAUGCUGGGCUCAACCCAGUAGGGCAAAAGAUACUGCAAAGCUAGAGUAUGACAGAGGCAAGUGGAACUACAUGUGUAGCGGUAAAAUGCGUAGAUAUA
rnacentral:rRNA from 1 species